rnacentral:rRNA from 1 species
AUUGAACGCUGGCGGCAGGCUUAACACAUGCAAGUCGAGCGGAGAUGAGGUGCUUGCACCUUAUCUUAGCGGCGGACGGGUGAGUAAUGCUUAGGAAUCUGCCUAUUAGUGGGGGACAACAUUCCGAAAGGAAUGCUAAUACCGCAUACGCCCUACGGGGGAAAGCAGGGGAUCUUCGGACCUUGCGCGAAUAGAUGAGCCUAAGUCGGAUUAGCUGGUUGGUGGGGUAAAGGCCUACCAAGGCGACGAUCUGUAGCGGGUCUGAGAGGAUGAUCCGCCACACUGGGACUGAGACACGGCCCAGACUCCUACGGGAGGCAGCAGUGGGGAAUAUUGGACAAUGGGCGGAAGCCUGAUCCAGCCAUGCCGCGUGUGUGAAGAAGGCCUUUUGGUUGUAAAGCACUUUAAGCGAGGAGGAGGCUACCUGGAUUAAUACUCUAGGAUAGUGGACGUUACUCGCAGAAUAAGCACCGGCUAACUCUGUGCCAGCCGCCGCCGUAAGAC